UUUUGCCUGGAAGGGAGAGUCAGAAGAUGACUUUUGGUGGUGUAUUGAUAGAUGUGUGAAUGUGGAGGGCUGGCAGCCAAACAUGAUCUUGGAUGAUGGAGGGGAUCUUACCCACUGGAUUUAUAAAAAGUAUCCCAACAUGUUUAAGAAAAUCAAGGGCAUAGUAGAGGAGAGUGUUACUGGAGUUCAUAGGCUGUACCAACUGUCCAAAGCUGGGAAGCUGUGUGUUCCAGCCAUGAAUGUCAAUGACUCAGUCACCAAACAGAAAUUUGACAACCUCUACUGUUGCCGUGAAUCAAUUCUUGAUGGGUAAUGUUUAUUAUCUUUGAGAUGAAGUUGUGACGUCAAGUUGAGAUUCUAAGUUUUUUGGCUGUGGUUAUUUCUGGAAAGGAUUCAUGUAGCACCUCUGGAUAAUGUCUCCGUUAAGCCAGAGCUUUGUCACCUCGUAAAUUAAAAUUACAUUAUUUUUAUUUUCUCCUUUGUAUCUUUUCUAUUUCUAAAUAUUUUCAAAAUAUUAUCUAAUAAAUGUAUGUUGCUUUUAUGUUUAAAAGUUACUGUGUUAUCUACAUCUUCUUCCUUUCUGCACCACUUGCAAGAAA
rnacentral:sRNA from 1 species